rnacentral:tRNA from 1 species
GGCGGUGUAGCUCAGCUGGCUAGAGCGUACGGUUCAUACCCGUGAGGCCGGGGGUUCGAUCCCCUCCGCCGCUACCA